rnacentral:rRNA from 1 species
GACGAACGCUGGCGGCGUGCCUAAUACAUGCAAGUCGAGCGAGUCACUGGGAGCUUGCUCCCGGUAGUUAGCGGCGGACGGGUGAGUAACACGUGGGCAACCUGCCUGUAAGACUGGGAUAACACCGGGAAACCGGUGCUAAUACCGGAUAAUCCUUUCCUGUACAUGCAGGAAAGCUGAAAGUCGGUUUCGGCUGACACUUACAGAUGGGCCCGCGGCGCAUUAGCUAGCUGGUGAGGUAACGGCUCACCAAGGCGACGAUGCGUAGCCGACCUGAGAGGGUGAUCGGCCACACUGGGACUGAGACACGGCCCAGACUCCUACGGGAGGCAGCGGUAGGGAAUCUUCCACAAUGGACGAAAGUCUGAUGGAGCAACGCCGCGUGAGCGAUGAAGGCCUUCGGGUCGUAAAGCUCUGUUGUUAGGGAAGAACAAGUACCGGAGUAACUGCCGGUACCUUGACGGUACCUAACCAGAAAGCCACGGCUAACUACGUGCCAGCAGCCGCCGUAAAAC